rnacentral:rRNA from 1 species
CGUGUAGGCGGCUCGGCAAGUGGUGUGUGAAAUCCUCUGGCUCAACCAGAGAACUGCGCUCCAAACUGCCGAGCUUGAGAGUAGUAGAGGUAACUGGAAUUCCUGGUGUAGCGGUGAAAUGCGUAGAUAUCAGGAGGAACACCAUUGGCGAAGGCGAGUUACUGGGCUAUUUCUGACGCUGAGGCGCGAAAGCUGGGGGAGCGAACA